GACGAACGCUGGCGGCGUGCCUAAUACAUGCAAGUAGGACGCUGAAGGAGGAGCUUGCUCUUCUGGAUGAGUUGCGAACGGGUGAGUAACGCGUAGGUAACCUGCCCGGUAGCGGGGGAUAACUAUUGGAAACGAUAGCUAAUACCGCAUAAGAGUAGAUGUUGCAUGACAUUUGCUUAAAAGGUGCAAUUGCAUCACUACCAGAUGGACCUGCGUUGUAUUAGCUAGUUGGUGGGGUAACGGCUCACCAAGGCGACGAUACAUAGCCGACCUGAGAGGGUGAUCGGCCACACUGGGACUGAGACACGGCCCAGACUCCUACGGGAGGCAGCAGUAGGGAAUCUUCGGCAAUGGACGGAAGUCUGACCGAGCAACGCCGCGUGAGUGAAGAAGGUUUUCGGAUCGUAAAGCUCUGUUGUAAGAGAAGAACGAGUGUGAGAGUGGAAAGUUCACACUGUGACGGUAUCUUACCAGAAAGGGACGGCUAACUACGUG
rnacentral:rRNA from 1 species